AGAGUGAACGCUGGCGGUAGGCCUAACACAUGCAAGUCGAACGGCAGCACAGUAGGAGCUUGCUCUUACGGGUGGCGAGUGGCGGACGGGUGAGGAAUACAUCGGAAUCUACCUUUUGGUGGGGGAUAACGUAGGGAAACUUACGCUAAUACCGCAUACGCCCUUCGGGGGAAAGCCGGGGACCAGCAAUGGCCUGGCGCUGAUAGAUGAGCCGAUGUCGGAUUAGCUAGUUGGUGAGGUAAUGGCUCACCAAGGCGACGAUCCGUAGCUGGUCUGAGAGGAUGAUCAGCCACACUGGAACUGAGACACGGUCCAGACUCCUACGGGAGGCAGCAGUGGGGAAUAUUGGACAAUGGGCGCAAGCCUGAUCCAGCCAUACCGCGUGGUGAAGAAGGCCUGGUUGUAAGCCUUUGUUGGAAGAAAGACAUUCGGUUAAUACCCGGUGUUCUGACGUACCCGAAAGAAUAAAGACACCGGACUAACUUACGUGCCAGCAGCCGCGGUAAC
rnacentral:rRNA from 1 species